CUCGUGACUAUGGUCACCAGCAAGAACGGUGGGAUUUACUUGCUGGCCAACCAGAAGGGUUGCGACGGGGACCGCCUGUACUACGACGGCUGCGCCAUGAUCGCCAUGAACGGAAGCGUCUUUGCUCAAGGAUCCCAGUUUUCUCUGGAUGACGUGGAAGUCCUGACGGCCACGCUGGAUCUGGAGGACGUCCGGAGCUACAGGGCGGAGAUUUCAUCUCGAAACCUGGCGGUGAGUGCUCCAGUAGACACCUGUGUGGGAUGCUCAUCAAAGACGUGGAAAGUGGCCCCAUUCGUGCGGGCCUGGUGGAGGCCGUGAGGGUGCAGUGCCUGAAAAGUCUGACAGGGAAGUUCCGGACUUCCCAAGCGUGGAAAGGGGCUGGUGCCGCAGACAGAACCUGCUUCCAUCUGUUGCCCAUCAUCCUCUGCUUGGGCCAGGCCCUGAGCUGGGGUGAGCUGGGGACAGGCAGGCAGAGAGGCUGACGAGACAGUCAGCGUGCUAGGGGCUGCCACACAAGGAAGACCCAAGCAGCCUUGGAGCCCAGGAAGGCCUCAAGGUGGGGGGUGGCAAGCGUGGUAGGAACAGGCACACAGUGUGCAGCCGAGGCUGGUCCCCACUUCGGCAGUUGGAGGCAAGGUCCAAGGCACAAGUGAGCCUGUGUCUGAGACCCUGGGAUGCAAGUAACGCCCCUCCUGCAGCCCGAGGUCCUGCUGCUGGUAACCUGGAGCUCUGCGUUUCUGCAGGACAUCGUCACAAAUAGGAUGUCCAACUGAGCAGCUGUCAUGAGACAGUGAUUUUUGCAAACAUUGAAGAAGUGUGAUGCUCAUAACAGAGCGGACUCUUC
rnacentral:sRNA from 1 species